rnacentral:rRNA from 1 species
UACGUAGGGUGCGAGCGUUGUCCGGAAUUAUUGGGCGUAAAGAGCUCGUAGGCGGUUUGUCGCGUCGACUGUGAAAACUGGGGGCUUAACUCUCAGCUUGCAGUUGAUACGGGCAGACUUGAGUUCGGUAGGGGAGACUGGAAUUCCUGGUGUAGCGGUGAAAUGCGCAGAUAUCAGGAGGAACACCGGUGGCGAAGGCGGGUCUCUGGGCCGAUACUGACGCUGAGGAGCGAAAGCGUGGGGAGCAAACAGG